rnacentral:rRNA from 1 species
AUGGAUAUCCUGGAACAUUAUCUCUCAAAUAUAUACUAUGCUGGGGUCCUUGUUAAUGUUGAUUGGCACACUAUCUUCAGGAGCUUCUAUGAGAAGGUGAGGAUCCAGGUAGCUGUCAGAGACCCUGCUAAGAUUCCUAGAGACAGGAUGGUGGAGAUACACCAUGAACUAUAUUUGCUGCAGUUUACUGUGGAGUCUGAGGCUGUGAGUGGUCAUGAGUCAGAUAAUCCUCCAGGCCCUGAUGAUAACAAUCCCUCUCAAAACAAGCAUACUAAAGAAGAAUUUGAUUCAAGUGGUGAUGAUUUACUUGGAGAAGAUAUGGACACCGGAAAUAGCAACAACAAUGCCAAAGACAAGCAUCAAACCACUAGAUCCAAUGGAGCCAGGACUAUGCAGAAGUGCUCUACACCUGCUCCCAGAGCUAAUGAAGAAAUAAUAGUCUCCUCCAAAUUCCUGGGAUGCACCUAUGACCAAAAGCUACCUUGA